ACUCGCCCGGAGUCCGCCUGGCGCGCGCAGUACCAGCGGCUCCCGGCGCUCUCGGCCGCCGGGACACUCUCCGCCCCGGACGCCGUCUCGGGCCUGAGAACAGGUGGCCUCGGAGAGGAGCGCGCCGACAGUCGCCUCUCACUCACCCAGAAGAUGAAGUUAAAUCCGAAGAGCAGGUAUUUGAUGCACUUGCUACCUCCUUUGACCGGCAUGGUACAAGCUGGAGUUGCGUGGGACAAGAGGCACGAACGACUGGGACAGAAGGGACUCGACAACGACUGAGACACGCUGCGGCUAGGGGCUGGCCUGAGGCUCCACUUUUAAAAAGUGCCACUCCUUACGGCGCUCGGCCAGCUGCUAUGCGCAUGUGCGGAGGGAUGCCGACCCCGCCCCCCGGCCCACCUGCCCCGCCCAUGCUCUAAUCCCCUCCCCAGACCCAGGUUCUGGGACUUGGGUUUCACCCUCAGUGCAGAGCUCUCUCUGCACCUAACUUUUGCCGUCUGGUUUCUAAGGUCCUCUUUCCCUCCAUCUUCCUUCUUCCCACCGUCUCGGGGUCUUUCCGGACCUCCGUACCCGACUUCUUUUACGGGGAGUUAAGUGCCGGCCUCGCCUUUCCCGUUCAUCCUAGUUCAUCCUGGGCUCUGCAUAAGAGCUCACGUUGGAAGACCCCCAAGGGCCAUGUAAUCUUAAGAACCUUUUCAGAUUCCCGAGGCAAGUCUGCGAGCCCCUAGCCCCUAUUUGCCUGGCUUGCGUUCUCUCUGACACUUCCUUGUAAACCUUUCUGGACUGAACGCACUUAGUUGAGCACGGUGGCCGCUAGAAUGUUCUAGGUGCUAAUCUGAGCAGUUCUACUUUGCUCAGAAACUUUCUACGUUCAGAGACUUGAGUUGAAACCCUUCUUCAUCCUGUAUUUACUCCGUUCAUUCCCUGCCACACCUGAUGCCACACCCCUACUCUGCUGCGCCUCCAUGCCUGCAGGGGUGUAUGCUGGCCGCCCUGCCUCCUUGUGAAAAUUCUAUUGUGCUUUAUUAUUUUUUUUAUUUAAAUCUAUUAUUAUUUUGAGACAGAGUCUUACUAUGCUGUCCUAUCUGGCUUGGAACGCCCUGUGUAAACCAGGCUGGCCUUGAACUCAUAAAGAUCUGUCUGCCUCUGCUGGGAUGUGCCAAUACGCCCAGCGAUUUCAUUUCUUUUGAAGUAGGAUUUAGCCGUUUGUAGACCUACUGACCCGGAAUUUGCUUAUGUAGCUCAGGCUAUCUUCAACUCCAGUCCUCCUGCCAGAGCGGUUCAGGCCACCACGUCCUGCUCUGUGACUCUCUAAAUUCUUUCUUGAUUUUUUCAACAGGGUGAAGAGGCCCUUCUCAAUAUCCUUUACAGUUUUCUCUUCCUCACCCCUGCAGGAAGUUUCCUUAGCAUUCUUCAUUGCAAAAGCAAACCGUACUUAUUACAGAAACAUCAGAAAAUAUCAGAAAGCAAAAAGAAUGUGAGUUAAAAUUUUUUUUCCUGGGUUAAAGUACGUUGGAGGCCAACGCCACAGGAGACCCGGUCCCC
ensembl:processed_transcript Gm26728 predicted gene, 26728